rnacentral:rRNA from 1 species
GACGAACGCUGGCGGCGUGCUUAACACAUGCAAGUCGAACGGAAAGGCCCUUUCGGGGGUACUCGAGUGGCGAACGGGUGAGUAACACGUGGGUGAUCUGCCCUGCACUUCGGGAUAAGCUUGGGAAACUGGGUCUAAUACCGGAUAUGACCAUGGGAUGCAUGUUCUGUGGUGGAAAGCUUUUGCGGUGUGGGAUGGGCCCGCGGCCUAUCAGCUUGUUGGUGGGGUGAUGGCCUACCAAGGCGACGACGGGUAGCCGGCCUGAGAGGGUGUCCGGCCACACUGGGACUGAGAUACGGCCCAGACUCCUACGGGAGGCAGCAGUGGGGAAUAUUGCACAAUGGGCGCAAGCCUGAUGCAGCGACGCCGCGUGGGGGAUGACGGCCUUCGGGUUGUAAACCUCUUUCAGUAUCGGCGAAGCUCCAAGGUUUUCUUUGGGGUGACGGUAGGUACAGAAGAAGCACCGGCCAACUACGUGCCAGCAGCCGCGGUAAUACGUAGGGUGCGAGCGUUGCCCGGAAUUACUGGGCGUAAAGAGCUCGUAGGUGGUUUGUCACGUUGUCCGUGAAAACUCACAGCUUAACUGUGGGCGUGCGGGCGAUACGGGCAGACUGGAGUACUGUAGGGGAGACUGGAAUUCCUGGUGUAGCGGUGGAAUGCGCAGAUAUCAGGAGGAACACCGGUGGCGAAGGCGGGUCUCUGGGCAGUAACUGACGCUGAGGAGCGAAAGCGUGGGGAGCGAACAGGAUUAGAUACCCUGGUAGUCCACGCCGUAAACGGUGGGUACUAGGUGUGGGUUUCCUUCCUUUAGGGAUCCGUGCCGUAGCU